AUAUUUAAAAGCCCAUUCCUUCUGUGAGCGUGCAAGACAACUUCAUCAACGCAGAUCAACACAACUUCUGCUAAAUAAUAAGUUCGUGCAAAGAACAGAACAACGUAUCGAGUCUAAAAGGAGAGCCGCGCUGGUCAAUGCAGAAGGAGGGGGGUGUCAGUCAGCGUGCGUGAACUUAGAAGAAUUUGUUAAAUCGUCUGCAUAGCUUGGCUUUCUGCUGAGAGAAGUUCCAGACCGUUCUUAAAACAAAACGCACCCAAACGCAUUCCGGAACAACUGGAUAGAUCUUCCAGCUCUGACCCCCAUCCAUCCCAGAGCCAUGGGAGUGAAAGGGUUACACUGCUUUCCCUGGUACAGCCGCUGGAAGGAGAGAAGCAAGGAGGCUCAUCGGAACAGGCUGCGAGAACGGCCCGCGGGAAAAACGAGGCUGUCGUCGACGCAGUCAGUCAGCAGCGAGGGCGACUCACAGAGCCACCGGGCCUACUUCAGCAGGAAGGCCCACGUAUCCUUCCGCCACGAGAUGGACUCCCCUGUGGCGAUCAUCGACUCCACUAACUGAGGACGACCCCAACCCCAACCCCGAGGACGACCCUCAACCACAACCCCAACCCCAACCCCAACCCCGAGGACGACCCUCAACCCCAACCCCAACCCCAACCCCAACCCGAGGACGACCCUCAACCCCAACCCCAACCCCAACCCCAACCCGAGGACGACCCUCAACCCCAACCCCAACCCCAACCCGAGGACGACCCUCAACCCCAACCCCAACCCGAGGACGACCCUCAACCACAACCCCAACCCCAACCCCAACCCCGAGGACGACCCUCAACCCCAACCCCAACCCCAACCCCAACCCCAACCCCAACCCCCAACUCCGGAGAGGACAGCUCAAACCCCAGCACCAGCACUGCGAAUUACCCAAGGCCUUAAAUGGAACAGUGUGUGCGCCCCUUACCAGAGAGGGAGAUCCCUUAGCCCUUAACAGACUGCAGUCCCUUCUCACAUCGGCAGUCUCUGCGUGUCCCUCUUCGGCAUGUUUAGCUCUGCCACGCUUCCUAGCUGUGCUGUAUUUCUGUUAUGUGUUGUUAUUAUUAUUUUUUUUUUCCCUGGAGGGCUAAACACAUAAAAGAGUCUUAAAAAUAA